rnacentral:rRNA from 1 species
AGUGAACGCUGGCGGUAGGCCUAACACAUGCAAGUCGAACGGCAGCACAGUAGGAGCUUGCUCUUACGGGUGGCGAGUGGCGGACGGGUGAGGAAUACAUCGGAAUCUACUUUUUCGUGGGGGAUAACGUAGGGAAACUUACGCUAAUACCGCAUACGACCUACGGGUGAAAGUAGGGGAUCUUCGGACCUUGCGCGAUUGAAUGAGCCGAUGUCGGAUUAGCUAGUUGGCGGGGUAAAGGCCCACCAAGGCGACGAUCCGUAGCUGGUCUGAGAGGAUGAUCAGCCACACUGGAACUGAGACACGGUCCAGACUCCUACGGGAGGCAGCAGUGGGGAAUAUUGGACAAUGGGCGCAAGCCUGAUCCAGCCAUACCGCGUGGGUGAAGAAGGCCUUCGGGUUGUAAAGCCCUUUUGUUGGGAAAGAAAAGCAGCAGGUUAAUACCCCGCUGUUCUGACGGUACCCAAAGAAUAAGCACCGGCUAACUUCGUG